AAAUUCUCUGGACAUUGACUUUCCCAUAUUUUGGAGCUUUCUGUAUAAUAGACGUCUGGAUAAUAGAUCUCAUACAUGUAUGACCAAAGCAGGUGAUGUUAAGGAAUUCUCUUUAUAGGACCAGGCCCAGACUGGCAAUCUGUGGGUUCCGGCCAAUGCCAGAGGGGCUGCUGUUAGAUGCCAUAGACAGUCACUAUGGGGGGCUGUUUGGGCCUCUAUGUACUGGGAAUGCCAGGGCCUAUUAUAAAUCCCAGCCCAGGCCUGUAUAGAACUGACCUCCAAUAACUAUAAAUAAAUACCAAUAAAUACAAUCUUAAAUCAUGAGAGUAAAAAAGCUUAAUUUUGGCAGUUUGCCCCAUUAUUUACACAGGGGUAAUGUAACAUUGGGUGAAUUUAAGGUUCCGGGUCACUUUGGCACCCAGACUGAGAGUAAACCUUUGGAGGCUGAUAAAGGUCCCUGCAAUGGUUACACCGUUAGACGCCGGUUGGGAUAAUGCGGUACCUGAUGUAGAGCUGAUGUAAGAUGCCCCCAUUCAUUGGCUGAACUUUAAUCAGUAUAACCUUUUUGUUUCCCAUUAUACUGUCUCUGCUCCUGGAGAAUCAUUUCACUCUCGGUACUGACUGUUCUGAGCCCAUUUCAUAGGUGACCUACUGUGUCAUUGGCUGAAGAGCACAUCUCCCCGUAAGCUCCUCCUUCCCAAAGCAAAGUCGGCCUUCUCUGCCCCAGGACAGAUCUUCUAUUAGAACUUGAAUCCAAUCUCAGUGGGGGGGGAAGCUUGUUUACAUAUAAAUCAGCCGGGGGGCAAUGAGAGCCAUUAGAAAAGUUGUAUGUUAGAAAAUGUCUAGCAACCUCGUCCAUCCAGAAAUAUCCACGGCGCUACUCCAGGGUGGCAAAUAUGGAAGCCGGGACCUACAGCCGGUGGUGUAGGAAGACCUAGACCUGCGGCUGAGGACAUCUGGUUCCACCUGAAACAUGAGGCAGGAAUGUCCCGACAGUUUCUACUAAAGGACGACUGCUGGAAUAAGGGCUUUAUAUGGUAGAAAACCUUUGCUGGGCAUUGACAUGGUGUUAGUACCUGAAGAAGGGAUGUUGUGCAGAUGGGUUAUACACAAUCAUUCAGGGCCAGGCGUCUAAACUUGAAUCUCUAUAGUGAAGAUGAGCCGUUUAAUUAUGUUCCUUAAUAAAUUUAAUUGUCUCUGAAA